rnacentral:rRNA from 1 species
UACGGAGGGUGCGAGCGUUGUCCGGAAUCAUUGGGCGUAAAGGGCGCGUAGGUGGCCCGGUCAGUUCGUGGUGAAAGCGCGGGGCUCAACCCUGCGUCGGCCAUGAAUACUCCGCGGCCUGGAGCACUGUAGAGGCAGGCGGAAUUCCGGGGUGUAGCGGUGGAAUGCGUAGAGAUCCGGAAGAACACCGGUGGCGAAGGGCGGCCUG